GGAACUUGCCUUACAGACUGGGACAACAUUUUGGAAACGAAUGCUAAUACCGGAUAUUAUGACUGAGUCGCAUGAUUUGGUUAUGAAAGCCUAUAUGCGCUGUGAGAGAGCUUUGCGUCCCAUUAGUUAGUUGGUGAGGUAACGGCUCACCAAGACGAUGAUGGGUAGCCGGCCUGAGAGGGUGAACGGCCACAAGGGGACUGAGACACGGCCCUUACUCCUACGGGAGGCAGCAGUGGGGAAUAUUGGACAAUGGACCAAAAGUCUGAUCCAGCAAUUCUGUGUGCACGAUGAAGUUUUUCGGAAUGUAAAGUGCUUUCAGUUGGGAAGAAGUCAGUGACGGUACCAACAGAAGAAGCGACGGCUAAAUACGUGCCAGCAGCCGCGGUAAUACGUAUGUCGCAAGCGUUAUCCGGAUUUAUUGGGCGUAAAGCGCGUCUAGGCGGUUUAGUAAGUCUGAUGUGAAAAUGCGGGGCUCAACCCCGUAUUGCGUUGGAAACUGCUAAACUAGAGUACUGGAGAGGUAGGCGGAACUACAAGUGUAGAGGUGAAAUUCGUAGAUAUUUGUAGGAAUGCCGAUGGGGAAGCCAGCCUACUGGACAGAUACUGACGCUAAAGCGCGAAAGCGUGGGUAGCAAACAGGAUUAGAUACCCUGGUAGUCCACGCCGUAAACGAUGAUUACUAGGUGUUGGGGGUCGAACCUCAGCGCCCAAGCUAACGCGAUAAGUAAUCCGCCUGGGGAGUACGUACGCAAGUAUG
rnacentral:rRNA from 1 species